rnacentral:rRNA from 1 species
AUGCGUCAGAGGGUUUUUGAUAACAGAGCCAUGCGAGUGGUCAACGAUUUCUGGGAUUUCUAUACGUGCGUUGAGGGUCAGAAGGAUCGUGCAAAUGUGGUGGUUGAGAAUAUUGCCAAGAAACUAGUCCACGACAUGCACUAUGAGGAGCGCGUCCGGUUAGUGGUCAAGUAUCACGCGGACUAUCUCAACCAUAGGAUUUUCAAACAGGAGGCUCGAGGGACGCAUCUUUCACGGGACAAUUACUUCAAGUCGUGCUGGGAGAAGAUCGUCGAACGGUGGACAGAUCUAGGGUGGCAGGAUGAACACAAAGUAAUAUCUGAACGGCGUAAGUUGAUGGGGGGUCGAGGACACCGUCAAGGCAACCUCACCAUCCCAGAAAGAAGACACUGGCAAGGAUAUCACUUACUUCGAGGCAUGGGCCAUCAAACGUAG